AGCAGGACUGUCACAUACAGUGUAGAAGUUUUAUUAUUCCAAAUAUUUUUUUCAGAGGUACUGAAAAACAGUACUUUUGUAAUAAAGUAUAUUCUUAGGCAAAAUUGAUUUUUAACACAAAAAUAUGUUUAUACAUCUCCUUAGUGAGAAGUUCAUCUUUGUUUCCAUGUUUUUCUUAUUUACUUCAUGAGUUUCAAGAGAAUACUCAUGUGUUUUAAGUCAACAUAAUUAAUUUCUUGUUUAAACAGAAUUGUUGAGGAGCCAAUUUUACUUGCCUCUUUGGUGUCUUAAAUGAUGGAGACUGUGUUAAUGAAAUGUUACUAUACUUGCUAAUUUUUUAUCAGAUAUGUUUAAAACAAAAUAGAAAUCUUCCUGUUCUUUGAAUCAGUUACAUAUAGUUGCAAUAAAUUCAUUAUUUCUGUUCAAAUGAAGGUUCAAGCUCUGAAUAGGGGUAGACUUCUUACAUGAGGAAACCAAGAAAAGUUACUGGCUGAUUAGGACAGGACUAGGAGGGAUGUGUCACUGGUCUUAGAAAGAGGAGCUCAGCAAGCUGGGAUAUCACAAGGGAUCUGGAAGAAUGUGGGGUUCUAUGUAAAGUGUAGGGGAGAAGCAACAUUUAGAGGAACUGAGAUAUUAUGAUAAGUAUCUUCAUGGAAGAGUUCACAUUGAAGUUGUAGAGGUAAGUGUUGUAAAAAGUCUUGAAGAGAGGGGUUAGGAACCAUUCCUUUAAUGAGGAAGUGGUCUCCAGGGAGUUUGUUUCCAGUAGUGUAUGCACACAAGAUUGGCUGAGUUUCUGGGGAGCAUCUGCAGGCAAAUGUCUCAGGAGAAAAUAGUGGAGGGGGAUGCUACCAGUAGUCUCUACAAACUACCUGUUUUUUCUGUAAUUCCUUCUCCAAGAUACAAAAGUUAGCUUCUCUAAUGUGUAUUUACAUUUAGGCUUUUUCUCUAUGAAUAGGCUUUAGCAAUCUUACUCUUUGAAUUCUUUUAUUCUGCCUGGAGAUAGUUCAAACAAACUGCAGUUCAAGCACCAACACUGCCCAGCUUUUAAUGAGAGGGAAAAUAAUUCUUCCUGCAAUAUAUAAGCGGGUUAUCUGAUUUCUGAGUCACCAGCUGAAAACCUCUCUUCUCAGAGGAUUGGAGCAGAAAGAAAAAGCUGUUUGGGAUAUCUUGUGUAUCCUAAAUUGUGCUAACUGGAUUUGUCUAGUGAUCUGCAGGAAAAUUCAGGUCUUUCCACAUGUAAGCAUAAGUGAAUGGAAAACCUUCUUUUCCUAACUUUUGUUUAGGAGAAAAAGAAAGAAAAAAGAUUGGAAAGCUAAAAUAUGGUAGCAUAUUCAAAGUUGGUUGCAGUUGUAAAACAGCAAUUGACUUAGUCAUCAGUAAGUUUGGGUAUUUUAUAAGUAAUAAGCAAUUUCUGGGGCACAUUUUUUUACAAGUCUCUAAGUCAUGUUAUAUGUACGGGAUAUUCACAGUAUUGAUGACUCCUACUACCUGGGUGUUAUGGCAACUGUUGAAAAAUGUAUGGAAAAGGGCUUUAAAUUGUAUGUGUCUUGCAAAUGUUAUAUGCAGAUUCCUCAUAAACCCUAUCACCUGGAUGUACUGAAGAGCUUUGUGGUUGGUCUCAGCAAUUUUCAUGCUAGGACAUUACCACUAGGGCUUACUAUUUUUCUUCUUUGUAUAGUUGCCCCAACUCUUUGUUCCAGCACACUGAGCUUUCUGCAUUACUGUAUCAGCUUCUACCUCAUUUUCAGUCUCUAUAGCAACAGUUUCUCAGCAACUGGGAGAUGCUUAGUAAAGACCUCUCAAUUUAGAAAUAUUGCACUCCAACCAUUUAAAAAAAAAAAGCUUUGAAAAAAAGAUCAAAGAAGUUUUAUCUUUAAUAAUUCAGGAUAUUUAUUACUAAUUAAUUAGUGUUCUCUGUUUUGACUGCUUAGACAAUUACCUGAUACUUUGAUCUGGGCCUUUGCUAGGCAUUUGUUGUGAGCAGCUUUAACUUAAAAGCAAAACCUUUAGAACUGUGUCUUGAAGUCAACUUUUAAGUGCUGUAAAACUACUGGACUUCUCUGGCUGUGUCAUCUGACUUCUGGACCUUUAGUAAGUAAUGAGAGGAAGGUAAGCACAGCUACUAUAUUUAAGAGGAAGCAAUUAUUUUGGCCUUUGAACAAAACAUAGAAUGUUUUCACCCUUCAUAGGAAACAAAAGUAAUUGUAGGUUCUUUUAUGCAUAUUUAAGAUGUUGAUCAUAUGUUGUCUGAUUUCAAAAGAAGAAAAGUCUCUGUGAUCAAGUCAGUUGAUCUGCUGGGAGGUUUCUGCCUUACCUUGCGUGGCUUGUAUUUCUCUGUACUUUAAUUAUGUAACAUGCUUCAAAGUGCAUUUUAUUUGCUAAAGUACAUAUUCUGAGAACCUGUAAGGCAAACAAAGUACAUAUAAAUAAUCAAGUAUUUUCUUUCACAUCCCACUAAGAGUCAAGAAAAACGUUAUCCUUCUUCUGCACGUAAGAGUUUUCAUGUUAAUGGGACCAGGGUUGUUAACUAUAACAAUUUAUUUCCUGAACAUUUGUACAUAAUUUAAUUUUUUUUCUUUGUUUCCUUAAGUGUUUUUCACUAUUAAAGCACACAAGUGACUGAAAUAUAACACACGGGCUGAUAGAGUGUAUCAGUGGGCAAAGUUACUUCAGUUUUCUUGGGCAGCAGAUGCUGCUUUUGCUUUCAUAUUGUGUUCAUGUGCUAACAUUAAAGUAGAUUCUGUUCGUUUCACGCAGGCACUCCUACUGCAGUCAAGAUCUGGACUGCCCACAAAGUUUUGUAUAUGAAAAUGUGGACUGUACAUACAUUAAUAAUGCCUUCUGUAAAUUUUUGGAGGGAGGGUUCAUAGAUAUGAUGCUAUACAAUGUUGGCCAGUUUGCUAAAACACAUGAACACAUGAUUAACUUUGAGACCAUGAAUACCCUAGUACUAGACUAUGGAGUCUUUUUUUUCCCAUACGGGUAAUUUAAAUGUUAGACAUUGUGCUGUACCGGAUAGAGAUCUGGUCAUCUCAUGAAUGCCUAAUGCCAUCUGCUAAAUUUCAAAUGGAUCCAGACUUGCAGGAAGCCUUCGGUGAUGUUCAGAGCUCCGUAUACAGAACAGCCCUAAAACUACGCUCAGUACAAAGUCUUUGCCAGUUGGAUUUGAUUGACGUUUCUCUGAUUCAGCACAUCCUAUCAAGUGAGCAAAGUCAGAGGGAGGAGCAGAUUUCUCUGAACAUGCAGCAAAUCUCUAGAAUGCUGAUGAAACUGUUCCAAAGAGCAAGAUUAGAAAACCCAGGCCAGGUAGAUCCAAGAGCUGCUGAAUUUACAUUGAGCCUUCUGGUUGCCAUGUAUGACAGAUCUGGAACAGGGUAUGUCAAAACUAGAUCUGCUGCAGCUGCCUUAAUUUCCCUCUCAGGAGACACUCUAUUGGCUAAAUACAGAGCUUUCUUCCACUUUUAUGCUGUCCCUGAUGGGAAGGAGACUUUGAUUACCCGUAGUGCCCUAAGAAGCCUGCUAACAGACUUAAAUCAGAUCCCAGCCAUUGUGGGAGAAGGCUGCACUCUGUCUUGUAUGGAAAUUGCAAUUCAUGACUGUUUCCAUGGGGUUCUGAAUGCAGCUAUUGUUGAAGAAAAAUUCCUGUCUUGGCUGAGAUCAGAGCCUGCUGUUCUCCUGUGGCUUCCUACAUGUUACAGAUUAUCAGCUACAGAAAUGGUUUCUCACCAAGCUAAAUGCAGAGUCUGCAAAGUUUUCCCCAUUACAGGCAUCAGGUAUCGCUGUUUGAAGUGCCUCAAUUUUGACCUUUGCCAAGCCUGCUUUUUCACUGGCUGUCUCUGCAAACCACAUAAAAGAUCACAUCCUGUUGUGGAACACUGUGUGCAGAUGUCAGCAAAGGCGAAUGCAAAGCACUUUCUCCACACCAUCAGGAACAACAUGUUUCAAGAGCGCUGCAGAAGAAAAGAGGCUCAGAGAAGGACAGCUCUGCAGUCAGUGGAGGAGAGACACUUCCCUGCUCACAAAAAUAUUUUUCCUCCUGUGGAAUUGAGGGCUUCAUCACUACCUGGUCCUGAAAAUGUGUCUUUCCCAGUGGAAAAUGGUGUCCCAGAGUCACCCAGGUUCAUACCUGAAAACAGGACUGUAAUGCAGAAGAGUAAGAAUAACAAGAAGACACCAGAGCAAGGCAAGACAUUAGCUCAGGCAAUAGCCUCUUUUGAAGCAGAGGUGUUAAAAAUGCACAAAUCCAUUAAAAGCAUUCACAGUGACAGCAGGUACAUGAAGAAGCAGUUCAACAAAUGGAAGAACAACAUGCAAUUUCUUCAUAAUUGCCAGGAAGAAAAAAGCUACAAAAUAGAGGCAAAACUCCAAAGACUGAGAGUAAGCCAUGAAAACCUGCAAAUGACACUGCAGCACAUGAAGGAAGAAGUCAAGACCAUGUUGCAGUCAUCAGAGCAUCCUUUUGCACAGUGUCAUAAUACAAUGUCAAGAAAUCCACAUGUUCUGCUGGAAAGGAGAAUGCAGAGUGAAUUAAAUCCUGCCCAAAUAAGGCCUACUUCCAGAACAUAUGCAGAAUGGAGAUCUUUGAAUUCCCCAAGUUCUGUAAAUGGAAUGCAGCUUUUACAGACACCUGAGGCUUUCACUGCAGUGGACUUUAUGUACUCGGAUGACCCACUGGAGUCAGUGUCCCUGCAGAGUGACAAACCCUUUAUGGGGCAGCAUAAAAAAGCAAAAGAGAAACAAACAUAUCCACCUAAACUGACAGAAAACUCUCUCAGUGGAAUGGGGAAUACCGUUCAUAUUCCCAUUGCAAUGCAGAUACCACCUGAUGAGAAGGAGGUCAGAGAGGAAUUAGAACUCCUAAUGAUGAAACUGAAGGAUACACUGUCUCUCCAAACCCAACCAGCCCAACAAACUGCAUUGCACCAGGAGUUCUUCUCUACAGCUGAGCAUGUUUGCAGGUCGUUUUCUGACCUCAUCAACCAAGUAAUUUCACCAGCUUGCAAAUGAUGGAAACUACCAUUCACCUUACAACUUCACUGAAUUACUUAAGGUGGGUCCUAUCAGAAGUGGAAGCACUGACAUCUGCCCAAAGGGCCCUGUGGAAAAGCAUCUCAGUUAAACAGGACCUGUUGAGAUAAUCUGUCUGAUUUCACAUUUGCUAGAGCUUGGGAGCGUAUGGGAACAGGCCCUCUUUAAGUACUGGAAGGCUCCAACAAGGUCUCCUUGGAGCCUGCUCUUCUCCAGAAGAAGUAGUACUGGAACAACCCCAACUUUCUCAGCCUGUCUUUUCAGAAGACUGCUUCACCUCCUCCUCAUUUUCAUGGCCCUUCUCUGGACUUGCUCUAACAGGUCCAUGUCUUUCCCAUGAUGAGAUGUAUUUAUGUAUGUAAAAAAGUACAGAUGUGUACUUAGCAGAGUACUAAGAAUUAACUGUUAAAACUGUGAAAUUUGCUAAGUAAUAUCUAUGAUGCAUGGGUAGAAAUUCUGAGAAUUAUAACCUUUUGUGGAUAGAAACAGCCAGUUGUCUCCAUCAGAUUUCAUUUCUAGUAUACACUCCUCUCUGUUGUAUUUUCUAACAUCCUUCUAGGAUUUCUGAUAUUGAACAAAUUGUUCAGUAUCAGGGUUCAGGGUUGUUUUUAGUGUAGCUCAUGGCAUAUGGAGAACUUCCUGUUUGUGGAAAUCAGCUACAACUGGGAUCAGCAUUUAGGACAAAAUUCAGUUUAAUAUAUGUGUUGAUCUGCUGAGUAUUCAUGCUUGUACUUUUUCAGUUUGGUCAUUGUGGGUGGGGAAGCUACUUCUCUUAAUGAGCUAAAUAAGCAACUGGCUUUUUGUGUAGAAAGUCUCUUCCAUGAGUGAUCCUGAAGAAGUGUUCCUUUGCUAUGUGAAGAAAAAUGUCGAAGGCAGGAUAUUGAUGUGAAAAGUAGCCCAGCCACAGCCUAUGUGUGAGGCUAGGGAGGAGUCUGCUUUGUGGAAUAUAUUUCAUUGUAGAGCUAAAGGACUCCAGAGGUUUCAGUCCUAGCAGCCUUAUUCUUACCUAGCCCCCCAUCUGGCUAUCCAGUCAUGUUCUGGGAACAUUUUUGAGGCACAUUCAGACUUUACUCCCCAGCUGCUUACAGUCACUUUUUAAUCCAAGUUUGGGUGUUGUGAGAAAGAGCUGCCUUGGCAGCCCUGGACCUGAACAUUGCAUUUAAGGAACAAAAGAGGGACAGCUUGCUCUUCCCACACUGCUCUGCCUAGUGGACGUCACUUACAACAGUGGUGGUAGUAAUAGGGCUGUCCUGCUGCUCCCAAGAUCCCCCAAGAAACAUCAUUCUUCUGUACCCUACUCCAUGAGGCAGGCUUUGAUUGCUUUCUCAGAAGCAAGCCAAAAACAUCCUGUGAGUCACUACUUCAUUCUUGUUUGUGCAUCAGAGCCCUUCCACUGGGCACAGACACCUAUGUGUGCAAUGCCAUGCAGCAUGCACAUAUGUCUGUUUACUGAGACUUUUUCAAGGGACAUAGUUAACUUUAUCAAGUUUCUGGUUUUCAAAGCAAUUUAGCAGUCUCAGAUGUGACCAUGAAAGUGAGGAGACAGGCAUGGGACAGUGGGCAGGGAGCCCCAACUACAAUAGAUUGCUCAAAGAAAGGAAUAAUAUUAAAAGAGGCUAAUAAUACUAAAUAAUAAUACUAUAAUAAUUUAAGUGAUGGUUCUGUGAUUUUGACAGAGCCCAUCUUAUUUGUACAGGUUAAAAAUUGAACUGAUUGGUUUGCAUUUUCUGCUUCCCGGCACCUAUUCUGAACUUUAUAAGUUACAAAAUUGGCUAGGACAAGGGUUCUGGAUUUGUCAAAACAGAGGGACAGCCCUGGGCAAGGAGUUGAUAGGGCAUUAAUAUGAGAAUCAGUGCCCCUGAAAGUAUGAUGUGCAUGGCAUUAGUAAGGGCCAGUAGCAAAGGCCACUAGUCCUUAUGGUCUGGUCAAACUCUGGCAGCACUGUGCUGUUAGUCUUCCACAAAGUUCAAGAUUAUAUUUUUUUAGACAGUUGAGAGCUGGAACCCAGGAAAAGCCAGAUUUCACUAAUCUCUUACCUGUGCACGUGGUAAAUGCAUCCAUGCAAUUCCUCCCCUACACCAAUCCAAUCUUUAGGUCUUUCUCUCCAUACAUUAAAGUUUGUGUGUGUGUGUGAGUGCUAUUUACACUUCCUGUUUCUGACUUUUCCCACCCUCUCCCCUAUCCCUGCUUCUCCUUGCAGUUUAGUGUCCUGCUCCACUCCCCGUCAUGGAUUAUGCCUUGCAAUAAUAAUUUAGAAGCUAAUCAGUUAAUUUGCUGUUCUCAUGUAACUCGGAGCUCUCGCUUACGGGU